rnacentral:RNase_P_RNA from 1 species
UAUGGCGGGCAGUCGCUGCCGCGCGGAUUGAUGCCGGGCGGUAGAGGAAAGUCGAGACACGCACACCGGGCGCCUACGGGCGGACGGUGUAGUAAGGCGCCCGGCGCAAGCCGGGGCAGGGCGACCUGACGACGGCCAAAGAAACCCACCGGGUUUUGAGUAGCCAUAAAGUGCCACAGAAACCAACGCACCGGGCAACCGGUGAGUGCAAGGGUAAACUCCGCCGGCGUGCAACCCAAAUAGGCGGUCUUUGAACCGCGGGUAGGGGCACCCCGCAAGGGGAGGCAAACCGACCGGUUUGCUUAGAUAGAUGACUGCUGAAACAGAAUCUCGCUUACGGUC